GUUACUGGUAACUGGUUCAAUACUUUGGAAUUCAGACGUUAAAUCAGAUGCCUUAUGUUUGGGUAGUGAAACACACUGCAUGUUAAAACACUCUUACAUAUCAGUAAUUUGAGGGGUCUGUAGGUUACUUAUGGGUAUUAGUUGAGAGUACAGUCCGGUAAGACUAUUUAAUUGUUCUAAUUUCAGAUAUCCAGCUAUUUUUAUCUGUCAAGUUCCACCCAGAAAUAAAUAUGGUAGGCUAGAAGGCUGUACACAUUGAAACAUAAGAGAAUUUGAUUAUUUCUCAAUUGAAAUAUCAGAAGAUUACAAAACAGUUUUAAGGCCAUUUGAAUUUUUUUAUUUUUAUCUGAACGUUAUAAAUUAUCAAUUUGUUCAGAUUGUCUAAACGCAAC
rnacentral:lncRNA from 1 species